rnacentral:rRNA from 1 species
UACGAAGGGGGCUAGCGUUGUUCGGAAUCACUGGGCGUAAAGGGCGCGUAGGCGGCUUUUCAAGUCGGGGGUGAAAGCCUGUGGCUCAACCACAGAAUUGCCUUCGAUACUGUUAGGCUUGAGACCGGAAGAGGUGAGUGGAACUGCGAGUGUAGAGGUGAAAUUCGUAGAUAUUGGGUGGAACACCGGUGGCGAAAGCGGCUCUCUGGUCCGGACCUGACGCUGAGGCGCGAAAGCGUGGGGAGCAAACAGG